rnacentral:rRNA from 1 species
UACAGAGGUCUCAAGCGUUGUUCGGAAUUACUGGGCGUAAAGCGUGUGUAGGCGGCCUUAUAAGUCGGAUGUGAAAGCCCAGGGCUCAACCCUGGAAGUGCACUCGAUACUGUAAGGCUCGAGUACUGGAGAGGUUGGUGGAAUUCUCGGUGUAGAGGUGAAAUUCGUAGAUAUCGAGAGGAACACCGGUGGCGAAGGCGGCCAACUGGACAGAUACUGACGCUGAGACACGAAAGCGUGGGGAGCAAACAGG